GGAGGAGUGGCCGAGUCUGGUUUAAGGCGGCGGUCUUGAAAACCGUUGUAGGUAACACUACCGUGGGUUCGAAUCCUACCUCCUCCG
rnacentral:tRNA from 1 species